CGGAUAGAGCUAGCGAAGUCGUUCACAUUCAGCCAAAGGCCCAUGGUUGCCUGCUGUCGAGUUGCUAAUCCCGCUCGGUGGUGGUCCGGCUGUGGGCUGAGGUGCAUUUGUGGACGUAUGCGCUGAGACUUGCGGGGUAGCUGCUGGACGCGUGUUCUAGAGGCCUCCCUAUGGGAGGAACCUGGUCGCGUUGACGGUUGUUUGCCCUGCUCGUAUGGCUACGGCCUACGGACCUGGCCUGCGCCGUUGUUCUCUUGCGGUGGUAUCGCAUGCGAUGCCUAGCUUGGGGGCAGCGGUUCGGUCUGUGGUUCCCGUGCCGCUCUCGGUGUAGAAGCUGGUCAUCUCUCCGACCCGUCUUGAAACACGGACCAAGGAGUUUAGCGUAUACGCGAGUCAUUGGGUGAGAAAACCCAUAGGCGUAAUGAAAGUAAAGGCCUGGUUGCUGGGCUGACAUGUGAGCGCUGAGGCUUCGGCCCUGGUGUGCAGCAUGGUCCCGUUCCGGUCGCUUGCGACGGAGCGGAGACAGAGCGUAUGCGCUGAG
rnacentral:rRNA from 1 species